AAUUUCAGCUGAAAAAGUCAUGAACAUAAAAGUUGUAGAGCUCAUCAAUACAUACAACUUUUAUUUUGGUCAUUUCUUCAUCCGAUAAAGUGAUAGUAACAUUAUUCACAAAGUUUACAUAUCUCUCUUAUAGUUUAUUGAACCAGAUGAGACAGAUGUAAAUUUUGUGAACAAUGUUACUAUCACUUUGUCGGAUGAAGAAAACAACCAAAUAUAAAAGUUAUAGAUAUUGAUGAGUUAUACAACUUUGUUGUUGAUGACUUUUUCAAUUGAAAUC
rnacentral:pre_miRNA from 1 species